rnacentral:rRNA from 1 species
UAUNGCACAAUGGGGGCAACCCUGAUGCAGCNACGCCGCGUGAGUGAUGAAGUAUUUCGGUAUGUAAAGCUCUAUCAGCAGGGAAGAAAAUGACGGUACCUGACUAAGAAGCACCGGCUAAAUACGUGCCAGCAGCAGCGGUACUACGUAUGGUGCAAGCGUUAUCCGGAUUUACUGGGUGUAAAGGGAGAGUAGAAGGAGAGGCAAGUCUGAUGGGAAAACCCGGGGCUCAACCCCGGGACUGCAUUGGAAACUGUUUUUCUAGAGUGUCGGAGAGGCAAGUGGAAUUCCUAGUGUAGCGGUGAAAUGCGUAGAUAUUAGGAGGAACACCAGUGGCGAAGGCGGCUUGCUGGACGAUGACUGACGUUGAGGCUCGAAAGCGUGGGGAGCAAACAG